rnacentral:rRNA from 1 species
GGCUACGAUGGGUAGGGGUUCUUAGUGGAAGAUCCCCCACACUGGCACUGAGAUACGGGCCAGACUCCUACGGGAGGCAGCAGUAGGGAAUAUUGGUCAAUGGGCGAAAGCCUGAACCAGCCAUGCCGCGUGCAGGAUGACAGCUCUCUGAGUUGUAAACUGCUUUUGUACAGGAGCAAAACAAUCCCUGCGGGGGUUCUUGAGAGUACUGUAAGAAUAAGCACCGGCUAAUUCCGUGCCAGCAGCCGCGGUAAUACGGAAGGUGCAAGCGUUAUCCGGUUUUAUUGGGUUUAAAGGGUGCGUAGGCGGCUUAUUAAGUCAGUUGUGAAAUCCUAGUGCUUAACGCUAGAACUGCAAUUGAUACUAUUAGGCUUGAGUAA